GAUUUGAAAGUGGGAUAACUUCUUCAUCCCAAUUCCUAUGAGAUUUAUUCAACUUCCUCGUGAUUGUCCACCACUUUAUCUAUCCAAAUCAAGCUACUUACAAAGUGAUUCACCUUGGUUUGAUUGGAACGACGAAGAAGCUUUCCUAUUCCCAAACUGCGAAACUGGAAUCUCCUGAUUUGAAAGUGGGAUAACUUCUUCAUCCCAACUCCUAUGAGCUUACUUCACCUUCCUGGUGAUUCUACAACACUUUAUGUAUCUAAAUCAAGCUUCUUACAAAGUGAUUCAUCCUGGUUUGAUUAGAAUGAUGAAGAAGUUGUCAUAUUCCCAAACAGGAAAACUGGAAUCACCUGAUUUGAAAGUGGGAUAACUUCUUCAUGCCAACUCCUAUGAGAUUUAUUCAACUUCCUGGUGAUUAUCCACCACUUUAUGUGUCCAUAUCAAGCUUCUUACAAAGUGAUUCAUCCUGGUUUGAUUGGAACGACGAAGAAGCUGUCCUAUUCCCAAACAGGAUAACUAGAAUCACAUUAUUUGAAAGUGGGAUAACUUCUUCAUCCCAAUUCCUAUGAGAUUUAUUCAACAUCCUCGUGAUUCUCCACCACUUUAUCUAUCCAAAUCAAGCUACUUACAAAGUG
rnacentral:lncRNA from 1 species